rnacentral:misc_RNA from 1 species
GUGCAUUCUGGGGUCAUUUUAGUGAUUGGUUGCUUGCUUGGCUUUGAGCUUGGUGGGUGGCUAGUUGUUGGGUGACUUCGGGGGUGUUUACCGUAAAGGUGCAUGAGUGGUGUUUGGUUUGUUACGGGUGGUUGGCUCUUUGCUUGUGCAACAACUUCCACCUGGCUUACCUUUUUCAGUCCCUUGUCAAAUGCUUGUAAAGCAUUAGAUUAAGCAAUGGUUUCUUGUGUUGCAUACCAACUUGACGGAAUAGAGUGAUGGCUAAAUCUUUUGUUCUUCAUCUUACAUCUUAAAUGUGAUGUGAGAUGAACUUGUAAGCGUUCUUUGUGGACCACAUCCUUAAUGCUUGUACAUUCAUUGAUGUGGGUCACUUUGAGUUGCUUGGUCUCUUGGGUAUGGAACUUGAUGUGGGCAUGGGACUUUAAGAGUCCUUCUGUUGUCCUGCUUUAGCGAUUAUCUUAUACGAUUGUCUAUCACGUAUGGCUCGUCUCAGCGUGAUAGACUAUGUCGAAGAUGAAUGCUACCUGGUUGAUCCUGCCAGUAGUCAUAUGCUUGUCUCAAAGAUUAAGCCAU